rnacentral:rRNA from 1 species
UUUAGUUCAAAACCCCGAAACUAAGUGAGCUACCCCGAGACAGCCUAUCAAUUAGGGCCAACCCAUCUCUGUGGCAAAAGAGUGGGAAGAGCUCCGGGUAGAGGUGACAAACCUACCGAACUUAGUUAUAGCUGGUUGCCUAAGAAAUGAAUAAAAGUUCAGCCUCGCACUCCUUGCCUCACAAACAUCUAAAACCACACGAGCCAAAGAAAUAUGCGAGAGUUAGUCAAAGGGGGUACAGCCCCUUUGAAACAGGACACAACCUCAUGCAGGAGGUUAAAGAUUAUACUAAACAAGAUACACCGCUUUAGUGGGCCUAAAAGCAGCCACCUAGACAGAUAGCGUUAAAGCUCCAGCGGACUAAAAAUCUAUUAUCCAAAUAAUUUAUCUAAAACCCCUAACAAUAUUAGGUCGCCCCAUGCCUACAUGGAAGAGAUACUGCUAAAAUGAGUAAUAAGAAGGAACCCCCUUCUCCUAGCCUACGUGUAUAUUAGAUCGGACCCCCCACUAAUAAUUAUCGAGCCCAACCAAAGAGGGUAAUGUGAUUGCACUAAACAACAAGAAAACAUCACACCACCAAAUCGUUAAUCCCACACCGGAAGGCCCACAAGGAAAGACUAAAAGAAAAGGAAGGAACUCGGCAAACCCAAGCCUCGCCUGUUUACCAAAAACAUCGCCUCCUGCAAAAAUCAAUGUAUAGGAGGUCCUACCUGCCCAGUGACAAGUUAAACGGCCGCGGUAUUUUGACCGUGCGAAGGUAGCGCAAUCACUUGUCUUUUAAAUGAAGACCUGUAUGAAUGGUGGAACGAGGGCUUAACUGUCUCCCCUUUCCAGUCAAUGAAAUUGAUCUGCCCGUGCAGAAGCGGACAUAUUAAUACAAGACGAGAAGACCCUUUGGAGCUUAAGAUAAAAGAUCAACUAUGUCAAGAAACUAAAAACAUAGCUUAAACUAAAUAGCAGCUGAUCCUUAUCUUCAGUUGGGGCGACUGCGGAAGAAAACAAAGCUUCCACGAGGAUUGGGAUAAACAACCUAAAGCCGAGAAGGACACUUCUAAGCCACAGAACAUCUGACCAUAUAAGAUCCGGCCACCCGCCGAUCAACGGACCAAGUUACCCUAGGGAUAACAGCGCAAUCCCCUUUCAGAGUUCAUAUCGACAAGGGGGUUUACGACCUCGAUGUUGGAUCAGGACAUCCUAAUGGUGCAGCCGCU